CCCUUCUUUUGCUUCCUGUUUCUGCCAGACGGAAACCCUUGCCUUUCUUUGCUGACAAAGGCCUGCACUGGGCCACUGGAAUCAGGAAAAGGCUUUUUCACCUCCAUGGUUUAGGUAGAAAUAUGGACAUGUGGCAGCAAGUAGUUGAGUAAACUUCUUUGCUUUUCUCUUUGCUCUUGUUCAAAAGGGAGGUCCUAUUUCAGGGGUAAGGAGACCAGUCUAACAAGCAUGGAGCUUAGGUUUUUCAAGACCAACACUGGUGAUCAAAUAUUUAAAAGGACUUUUUUUUUUUUUAAACCAAAAGCAUGCUCUGCACUCAUGAAGCAUUUUUUUUUUUUUAAAGUAAGAUCUCUUCUUUCAAGAUUCUGGCCAUCUGCUUGCCAUCCUGUAUUUUUAAUGUUAUUCUGUCAAAUAUAUGCUCUGUCAGCACAGGUAAGGGAACAUUUGAAAAAUCUGAACAUAACAAAUCUGAGAGUCCAGAUGACACCAGUUCUGGGGUCUGGAGUGAAUUGGUAAAUGCAGCCUUGCAAGUAAUUCCGUCAAACAAAGCCACUUCGCAAUACAGCUUCAUCAAACCACUCUUACUCCUUAGAAGCCUCCAAUCGAAGCAGAGUAUAACUUGAAGUCCAAAUCUCUCAGUGGCCAUGACUGCUGGAGAAUAUGAAGGAAGCCCUCAGUAUAGCUGUGAUGAACUUCCAGUCCUGAAUGCUGAGGCUGGUGUGACCUGGUGGAGCCGGCACCAGAGGUCAUGUACCAAAGCCAUCUAUUCUGAAAGAAGUGGCACAAGCUGGCAAGCUGUGAUGGCGAUUGUCAAUACUUUGCCACCUCAAUCACAGACUAGAGUUUGUGAACAGAGUGCCUGUGAAUGGACCACUUGGAAGUCCCUCCAUGACUCAGGGUUGGAAACCCCAGAUCCCAACCUGGUGUCAGGGACAAUGGCUUUAAUGCUCACUCAUGAAUGCAUGAAUGACUCCGGACACAAUGAGCAAUUCAAACAGUUUCGCUGUGUGAAGUGUCCUGGAAAUCAGUGUUACUUUGGUCAUUUCCACAGAGUCAUUUUACAUCGUUGCCAUUUAACAUCCCCAGGAAAGCAUUAAAUCCUACAUACUGGAUAGAUGACUAAGGAGUCAGCCACACAGUGCACUGUCUGGAAGGAGAUGGCCUGUCCUGAUCAAUGUCAAGCCUUCAGAUGGUAGAAGCCUUGAACUGCCCUGAAUAAGAAUAACCCAGCUGAACUAUAUAAGCGCGGG
rnacentral:lncRNA from 1 species